ensembl:misc_RNA Y_RNA Y RNA
GGCUGGUCUGAAGAUAGUAAGUUAUCUCAAUUUCACAAAUCAGUUACAGAUCAAACUCUUUGUUCUACUGUUUCCCCCCUUCUCACUACUGCACUUGACUAGUCUAAA